rnacentral:rRNA from 1 species
GACGAACGCUGGCGGCGUGCCUAAUACAUGCAAGUAGAACGCUGAAGGAGGAGCUUGCUCUUCUGGAUGAGUUGCGAACGGGUGAGUAACGCGUAGGUAACCUGCCCGGUAGCGGGGGAUAACUAUUGGAAACGAUAGCUAAUACCGCAUAAUAGUUGAUGUUGCAUGAUAUUUACUUAAAAGGUGCAAUUGCACCACUACCAGAUGGUCCUUCGUUGUAUUAGCUAGUUGUUGGGGUAACGGCUCAACAAGGCGACGACACAGAGUCGGCCUGAGAAGGGGGACGGCCCCAAUGGGACUGGGACACGGCCCAGGCUCCUACGGGAGGGAGCAGUAGGGAAACUUCGGGAAUGGGGGAAAGUCUGAACGGGCCACGCCGGGUGGGUGGAGAAGGUUUUCGGAUCGUAAAGCUCUGUUGUAAGAGAAGAAAGAGUGUGAGAGUGGAAAGUUCACACUGUGACGGUAUCUUACCAGAAAGGGACGGCUAACUACGUG